UUUUGAUCAGGCUGUGUCAUGGGGUUUUCAGUGGACAUAGUCAUUGUGACGUCACCCGUUAGUUUGUGGACUGCCAUUUUGAAGCCUUGAGUUUGGCCGAUAGGGCGCCGCCAUGGCUGUCCUUGACGCGGUGGUGAGAAACCGCAUCUACUGAAGUAAGGGAGGACGAUGAGGCUGAAUAGAGAGGGGAAAAGGAGGAGGAGGAGGAAUCAGAGGAAAAGGCAGACAAGGAAGAUGAGGAGGAAGAAGAAGAGAGAUCCAGAGGAGCCACCCAAGCCCGGAAAGUAAAGCUGUCGCUCGUCGUCUCUGAGUCAUCGUGGAUGUAUGUGAUGCCUAACUUGUUUAGGGUGACCUGGGAAAAAUCAGGUUGGUUCCUGAGAAAAGAAGGGG